GCGGGAGUCAACACAAUAAAACUUGGGUAUAUUUGGAGAGUGGGUGAUGGUCAAAACAUAAAUAUUUGGAGUGAUCCGUGGAUCCCACAAGCACCGGACAGAAUGGUGAUUACUAGAAGAGGAGGUCGGUUACUAUCGAAAGUUGAUGAUCUCAUAAAUCCUGCUAAUGGUGAAUGGGACGAAUCACUUGUAAACCAAACAUUUUGGCCCGUUGAUGCAAGAAGGAUUCUUUCAAUUCCCCUCCCAGCUCAUGACAUGACUGAUUUUAUUGCAUGGAAUUUGACAAAAACGGGUACCUUUUCGGUGAGAUCAGUGUACCACAUAGAAUGGAACCGCCAAUUUGGUAGUAGAAUGAAAGUAAGUAAUGGUAUGGGUGCAACUGUUGACAAUCCUAUCUGGAAGACCCUUUAGACCCUGAGAUAUCCAUCUAAGAUAAAAAUUAAUGCAUGGAGGACUCUGCAUGGAGCAUUGCCAUGUCGAGCUGUUUUAGCCCAUAGACAUAUUAGUAUGGCAGUCAGAGUUCUAACAAGCAACUACUCACGAGCAAGUCUACCAAAGGCUAGGCAAAAAAGUGAUGGGUGGUCGAAACCAAUGCAUAACUAUGUCAAGUUGAAUAUUGAUGCAGGUUUUGAUGCUGAUUCACUUAUGGGGACUUUUGGUGCUGUUUUGAGAGAUAGUAAAGGUGACUUUCUGGCAGCUGCAAAUAACAAAGUUGAGGCUUGCUUGGAUGCCCUCACAGCAGAGACAAUGGCGCUAAGAUUUGGCUUACAUUUAGCGCAAAUUGUUGGCUGCAACCGGCUGGUCGUCAACUCCGACAAUGUUGAUGUUAUUAGCAUCAUGUGCGAAGGAGAUUUCUAUGCAGGUGUGGGAGCUCCUAUCUUUGACGAGUGCUAUCAUAUGUUGACAAACUUUGUUCAUGUCAUAUUCGAGCACCCUCCACGGGAGGAUAACACAAUGGCUCAUGAAUUAGCCCGUAUUGCUAGAUAUAAUAAUCCUAGUAUUUGGUUAGAUGAACCCCCCAGGGUUUAA
rnacentral:rRNA from 1 species